rnacentral:rRNA from 1 species
GACAGAGGGUGCAAACGUUGUUCGGAAUUACUGGGCGUAAAGCGUGUGUAGGCGGUCCCGUAAGUCGGGUGUGAAAGCCCUGGGCUCAACCCAGGAAGUGCACUCGAAACUGCAGGGCUAGAGUAUCGGAGAGGUUGGUGGAAUUCUCGGUGUAGAGGUGAAAUUCGUAGAUAUCGAGAGGAACACCGGCGGCGAAGGCGGCCAACUGGACGAAUACUGACGCUGAGACACGAAAGCGUGGGGAGCAAACAGG